rnacentral:rRNA from 1 species
GUCCACGCCGUAAACGAUGAGUGCUAGAUGCUACGGGUAUUGACCCCUGUGGUGUCGUAGCUAACGCGUUAAGCACUCCGCCUGGGGAGUACGGCCGCAAGGCUAAAACUCAAAGGAAUUGACGGGGGCCCGCACAAGCGGUGGAGCAUGUGGUUCAAUUCGACGCAACGCGCAGAACCUUACCUGGGUUAAAUCCACUCGAACCUUGCAGCGAUGCAGGGGUGCCCUUCUGGGGAGCGAGUGAGAAGGUGCUGCAUGGCUGUCGU